GUACUGCUGAAGAGUCCCGAGCCAGGACGAAACAUCUGUCCAGUAC
rnacentral:hammerhead_ribozyme from 1 species